GACGAACGCUGGCGGCGUGCUUAACACAUGCCAGUCGAACGGAAAGGCCCUGCUUUUGUGGGGUGCUCGAGUGGCGAACGGGUGAGUAACACGUGAGUAACCUACCCUUGACUUUGGGAUAACUUCAGGAAACUGGGGCUAAUACCGGAUAGGAGCUCCUGCUGCAUGGUGGGGGUUGGAAAGUUUCGGCGGUUGGGGAUGGACUCGCGGCUUAUCAGCUUGUUGGUGGGGUAGUGGCUUACCAAGGCUUUGACGGGUAGCCGGCCUGAGAGGGUGACCGGCCACAUUGGGACUGAGAUACGGCCCAGACUCCUACGGGAGGCAGCAGUGGGGAAUAUUGCACAAUGGGCGGAAGCCUGAUGCAGCAACGCCGCGUGCGGGAUGACGGCCUUCGGGUUGUAAACCGCUUUCGCCUGUGACGAAGCGCGAGUGACGGUAAUGGGUAAAGAAGCACCGGCUAACUACGUG
rnacentral:rRNA from 1 species